rnacentral:rRNA from 2 species
UCGGUCCGCCUAUGGUGUGCACCGGUUGGCUCGUCCCUUCUGCCGGCGAUGCGCUCCUGGCCUUAAUUGGCCGGGUCGUGCCUCCGGCGCUGUUACUUUGAAGAAAUUAGAGUGCUCGAAGCAAGCCUACGCUCUGAAUACAUUAGCAUGGAAUAAUGAAAUAGGACGUUCGAUCUUAUUUUGUUGGUUUCUAAGAUUGACGUAAUGAUUAAUAGGGAUAGUUGGGGGCAUUAGUAUUCAAUUGUCAGAGGUGAAAUUCUUGGAUUUAUUGAAGACUAACUACUGCGAAAGCAAUUGCCAAGGAUGUUUUCAUUAAUCAAGAACGAAAAUUAGGGGAUCGAAGACGAUCAGAUACCGUCGUAGUCUUAACCAUAAACUAUGCCGACUAGGGAUCGGAUGAUGUUAAUUUUUAAUGACUCAUUCGGCGCCUUACGGGAAAC